rnacentral:rRNA from 1 species
CAGUAGCCGCGGUAAAACGUAGGGUGCAAGCGUUAAUCGGAAUUACUGGGCGUAAAGCGUGCGCAGGCGGUUAUGCAAGACAGAUGUGAAAUCCCCGGGCUCAACCUGGGAACUGCAUUUGUGACUGCAUGACUAGAGUACGGCAGAGGGGGAUGGAAUUCCGCGUGUAGCAGUGAAAUGCGUAGAUAUGCGGAGGAACACCGAUGGCGAAGGCAAUCCCCUGGGCCUGUACUGACGCUCAUGCACGAAAGCGUGGGGAGCUAACAGGAUUAGAUACCCCAGUAGUCCCUGUCUCUUAUAC